rnacentral:rRNA from 1 species
GACGAACGCUGGCGGCGUGCUUAACACAUGCAAGUCGAACGGUAAGGCCCCUUUGGGGGUACACGAGUGGCGAACGGGUGAGUAACACGUGAGUAACCUGCCCAUGACUUCGGGAUAACGUCAGGAAACUGGGGCUAAUACCGGAUAGGAAUCCCUGCUGCAUGGUGGGGGUUGGAAAGCUUCGGCGGUUUUGGAUGGACUCGCGGCUUAUCAGCUUGUUGGUGGGGUAGUGGCUUACCAAGGCUUUGACGGGUAGCCGGCCUGAGAGGGCGACCGGCCACAUUGGGACUGAGAUACGGCCCAGACGCCUACGGGAGGCAGCAGUGGGGAAUAUUGCACAAUGGGCGGAAGCCUGAUGCAGCAACGCCGCGUGCGGGAGGACGGCCUUCGGGUUGUAAACCGCUUUCAGCAGGGGCGAAGCUUGUGGUGACGGUACCUGCAGAAGAAGCACCGGCUAACUACGUG